GACGUUAAGACCACGCUGGUUUCACUGUCGAAAGAGCUAGUUACUGUCACGAUUAUUAUUCUUUUCUGUGUUUCGUGAAGCCAUUUAUUCAGCUUUUUCAGCUCGUUUUCUGUUCUGAGCUGUCAGUUCAAACCCUAUUCUGAGUGCUUUUGCUUGCCUAGCAUUGGCUUCAUAUCUAUAUUCCCUGUCUGUGUGCAUAUUGGUCUGGGUGACUCCUCACAUUUUCUCGUGUCAUCCCAGACAUCACACGUAUGUCAGUUCACUGUAUGUCAACACAGUUUGAGUCCUACACAUAUUUCAUUUUGUGUCGUGCUUGACCCAGCAUCAACUUGCGAAUAAACUAUAGGGGCUGCUUACAACAGACCCCAGAAGAAACUCUGAAGGCUCUCACUAAAUCCAUAGCGUCGAAACAUUUUGGAGCUUCUGCC